GCUUAUGAAUUUUCUUACCUGGUCCUCUGGUAAAGCAGCUUGAGGGUCUGUGUUCUGGCAUUUUGAUGGAAUAGAUUUAUUUUCUUCACCCAGGACACCAGGUGCUACUUGCUAUAAAAACAGCAGAGGAUUGAAUCUCUUCCCUUAAGGCUUCUGGCAGCUCUGCAGCAAAUCUGGCCACUAGCUUGCCAGGGCUUAAUAGGCUUGUAUGUUGGGGGGAUGGGAAAGGGGGGAGGGGUGAGAGGAGAUAAGAGAGAGAGAGAGAAUGCUUCACUUUCCAGAUUCUCAAAGGGGAUAGUGUUUUCUUGCCUUACUUAUCUCAUAAGGUUGUUCUGAAAGUAAAAUAAGAUAAUGUAGGACAAUAAAUAUGGCUGUGCCUAGAAAAAAUGGGCCAUGACAUUUUAAUAUACUAUUAACUGAUAUGUGGUACUGAAUCAAUAUUGUUCUGUAUCCCCAAAAGAGAUAGUAUAAUCUAGUGAUUAAGGCCAUGGGAUAUUUGAUUUAGUCCUUGCUAGCUCUGUGAUUUCAGGUAUUGAAUCUCUUUCAGCUUCAAUUUAUUUAUCUGGAAAAUAAAGAUAAUAACUUUGCCAACAUUUUAUAGUUGCUGUGAGGAAGAAAUAACUUAUUGUAGGGGAAGUGCUUACUCUAAUGUCUGGCAUAUGUUGUUUGUUUAAUAAAGUGUCUGCUAUCCUUAUCCCUCCCAUGCCCAACAGGACCUCGCAGCUUUUUCCAAGUGUAUUUGUAUAGAAAUGACCACCAAGACCCAAUGAAAAUCAAUGACAUGGAGAGACAUCAUGGACCAAAGACACCAAGGAAUUGGAGGACCUGGAUUUCCAACUGGCUGGGUGACAUUGCACAGAUUCUUUGUUUACAAUGAUAUUAACAUUUCUGCGAUAUGCAGCAGGAGAGAUGGACUUCUUCCCAGGAGCUCUGAGCAAGUCUUUCUUCCCAUCUCAUUUUCCCAAACAUUCCUGGAAGUCUCUAAAAGCGGGUGGCUUUGAUUCUUCCAUCAGUGCCUACUGUGUGCCAGGAAUUAUUCUAGGCACUGGCCACAAAGCAGAAAAUGACUCUCAAGGUUUUAUGGAACUUACGAAAAGUUCUGUUUUUGUCUUGUAAACAGAAAACAAGGUAAGUGCGUAAAAUAGCUUUAUGCUACAUGGCAUGCUACAUGAUAUGUGCUAAUGAGAUAAAUA
rnacentral:lncRNA from 1 species